rnacentral:rRNA from 1 species
GCAGUCGCCGCGGGAAUACGAAGGGGGCUAGCGUUGUUCGGAUUUACUGGGCGUAAAGCGCACGUAGGCGGACUUUUAAGUCAGGGGUGAAAUCCCGGGGCUCAACCCCGGAACUGCCUUUGAUACUGGAAGUCUUGAGUAUGGUAGAGGUGAGUGGAAUUCCGAGUGUAGAGGUGAAAUUCGUAGAUAUUCGGAGGAACACCAGUGGCGAAGGCGGCUCACUGGACCAUUACUGACGCUGAGGUGUGAAAGCGUGGGGAGCAAACAGGAUUAGAGACCCCCGUAGUCCCUGUCUCUUAUAC